rnacentral:rRNA from 1 species
GGCUCAUGAUGAACGCUAGCUACAGGCUUAACACAUGCAAGUCGAGGGGCAGCAUGGUCUUAGCUUGCUAAGGCCGAUGGCGACCGGCGCACGGGUGAGUAACACGUAUCCAACCUGCCGUCUACUCUUGGACAGCCUUCUGAAAGGAAGAUUAAUACAAGAUGGCAUCAUGAGUCCGCAUGUUCACAUGAUUAAAGGUAUUCCGGUAGACGAUGGGGAUGCGUUCCAUUAGAUAGUAGGCGGGGUAACGGCCCACCUAGUCUUCGAUGGAUAGGGGUUCUGAGAGGAAGGUCCCCCACAUUGGAACUGAGACACGGUCCAAACUCCUACGGGAGGCAGCAGUGAGGAAUAUUGGUCAAUGGGCGAGAGCCUGAACCAGCCAAGUAGCGUGAAGGAUGACUGCCCUAUGGGUUGUAAACUUCUUUUAUAAAGGAAUAAAGUCGGGUAUGGAUACCCGUUUGCAUGUACUUUAUGAAUAAGGAUCGGCUAACUCCGUGCCAGCAGCCGCGGUAAUACGGAGGAUCCGAGCGUUAUCCGGAUUUAUUGGGUUUAAAGGGAGCGUAGAUGGAUGUUUAAGUCAGUUGUGAAAGUUUGCGGCUCAACCGUAAAAUUGCAGUUGAUACUGGAUAUCUUGAGUGCAGUUGAGGCAGGCGGAAUUCGUGGUGUAGCGGUGAAAUGCUUAGAUAUCACGAAGAACUCCGAUUGCGAAGGCAGCCUGCUAAGCUGCAACUGACAUUGAGGCUCGAAAGUGUGGGUAUCAAACAGGAUUAGAUACCCUGGUAGUCCACACGGUAAACGAUGAAUACUCGCUGUUUGCGAUAUACUGCAAGCGGCCAAGCGAAAGCGUUAAGUAUUCCACCUGGGGAGUACGCCGGCAACGGUGAAACUCAAAGGAAUUGACGGGGGCCCGCACAAGCGGAGGAACAUGUGGUUUAAUUCGAUGAUACGCGAGGAACCUUACCCGGGCUUAAAUUGCAGAUGAAUUACGGUGAAGGCCGUAAGCCGCAAGGCAUCUGUGAAGGUGCUGCAUGGUUGUCGUCAGCUCGUGCCGUGAGGUGUCGGCUUAAGUGCCAUAACGAGCGCAACCCUUGUUGUCAGUUACUAACAGGUUCCGCUGAGGACUCUGACAAGACUGCCAUCGUAAGAUGUGAGGAAGGUGGGGAUGACGUCAAAUCAGCACGGCCCUUACGUCCGGGGCUACACACGUGUUACAAUGGGGGGUACAGAGGGCCGCUACCACGCGAGUGGAUGCCAAUCCCCAAAACCUCUCUCAGUUCGGACUGGAGUCUGCAACCCGACUCCACGAAGCUGGAUUCGCUAGUAAUCGCGCAUCAGCCACGGCGCGGUGAAUACGUUCCCGGGCCUUGUACACACCGCCCGUCAAGCCAUGGGAGCCGGGGGUACCUGAAGUGCGUAACCGCGAGGAGCGCCCUAGGGUAAAACUGGUGAC